UACGAAGGGGGCUAGCGUUGCUCGGAAUCACUGGGCGUAAAGGGUGCGUAGGCGGGUUCUUAAGUCAGAGGUGAAAUCCUGGAGCUCAACUCCAGAACUGCCUUUGAUACUGAGAGUCUUGAGUUCGGGAGAGGUGAGUGGAACUGCGAGUGUAGAGGUGAAAUUCGUAGAUAUUCGCAAGAACACCAGUGGCGAAGGCGGCUCACUGGCCCGAUACUGACGCUGAGGCACGAAAGCGUGGGGAGCAAACAGGG
rnacentral:rRNA from 1 species